AGCCUUCUGCAUCCGUGCUGAGAUUUCGUCACACACCAGACAACAAGGGCCGAUGAGACUUCUCAGAUAAAUGAAGCG
rnacentral:pre_miRNA from 1 species